rnacentral:rRNA from 1 species
UACAGAGGGGGCAAGCGUUGUUCGGAAUUACUGGGCGUAAAGGGCGCGUAGGCGGCCUGCUAAGUCGAACGUGAAAUCCCUGGGCUCAACCCAGGAACUGCGUCCGAUACUGGUUGGCUUGAAUCCGGGAGAGGGAUGUGGAAUUCCAGGUGUAGCGGUGAAAUGCGUAGAUAUCGAGAGGAACACCUGCGGCGAAGGCGGGUUGCUGGGCUGACACUGACGCUGACAGCGCGAAAGCUAGGGGAGCGAACGGG